rnacentral:rRNA from 1 species
CGAAACCUGGCAGCAUUGCUGACGAGUGGCGGACGGGUGAGUAAUGUCUGGGAAACUGCCUGAUGGAGGGGGAUAACUACUGGAAACGGUGGCUAAUACCGCAUAACGUCGCAAGACCAAAGAGGGGGACCUUCGGGCCUCUUGCCAUCAGAUGUGCCCAGAUGGGAUUAGCUUGUUGGUGAGGUAACGGCUCACCAAGGCGACGAUCCCUAGCUGGUCUGAGAGGAUGACCAGCCACACUGGAACUGAGACACGGUCCAGACUCCUACGGGAGGCAGCAGUGGGGAAUAUUGCACAAUGGGCGCAAGCCUGAUGCAGCCAUGCCGCGUGUAUGAAGAAGGCCUUCGGGUUGUAAAGUACUUUCAGCGGGGAGGAAGGUGUUGUGGUUAAUAACCAAAGCAAAUGACGUUACCGCGAGAGACCGGCUAUCGGCAGCAGCCCGGUAUACGGAGGGUGCAAGCGUUAAUCGGAAUUACUGGGCGUAAAGCGCACGCAGGCCGUCCGUCAAGUCGGAUGUGAAAUCCCCGGGCUCAACCUGGGAACUGCAUUCGAAACUGGCAGGCUUGAGUCUUGUAGAGGGGGGUAGAAUUCCAGCUGUAGCGGUGAAAUGCGUAGAGAUCUGGAGGAAUACCGGUGGCGAAGGCGGCCCCCUGGACAAAGACUGACGCUCAGGUGCGAAAGCGUGGGGAGCAAACAGGAUUAGAUACCCUGGUAGUCCACGCCGUAAACGAUGUCUACUUGGAGGUUGUGCCCUUGAGGCGUGGCUUCCGGAGCUAACGCGUUAGUAGACCGCCUGGGGAGUACGGCCGCAAGGUUAAAACUCAAAUGAAUUGACGGGGGCCCGCACAGAGGUGGAGCAUGUGGUUUAAUCGAUGCAACGCGAGAACCUUACCUGGUCUUGACAUCCACAGAACUUUCCAGAGAUGGACUGGUGCCUUCGGGAACUGUGAGACAGGUGCUGCAUGGCUGUCGUCAGCUCGUGUUGUGAAAUGUUGGGUUAAGUCCCGCAACGAGCGCAACCCUUAUCCUUUGUUGCCAGCGGUUAGGCCGGGAACUCAAAGGAGACUGCCAGUGAUAAACUGGAGGAAGGUGGGGAUGACGUCAAGUCAUCAUGGCCCUUACGACCAGGGCUACACACGUGCUACAAUGGCGCAUACAAAGAGAAGCGACCUCGCGAGAGCAAGCGGACCUCAUAAAGUGCGUCGUAGUCCGGAUUGGAGUCUGCAACUCGACUCCAUGAAGUCGGAAUCGCUAGUAAUCGUGGAUCAGAAUGCCCCCGUAAUU